UAAAAUACCUCUCGGCCAAGAGAGUUUCAAAGAAAACCUCUCGGCCAAGGAAGAAUUCACCCAAGUGAAUCCCUACCGAGAGUCUAAUGAAAAACCUCUCUGCCAUACACUGAAGCGCGUUGGAUCCUUCGUCCAAUAGGUCCAAUAGAAAGGGAACCUGGGAGUUUCGCCGUCAAAGAAAAAUGGCCGGCCUUCCUCCUCAACGACAACUUUAAAGAAACCACCUUUAAAGUUCUUAUAAGAAGUUGUGUAAGGAGCAAAGAAGCUAUUAUUCGCUUGACCAACCAAAGAAACCCAACCUAUUCGGUCACCCGGCCUUGUACCAAAGAAAUGUAAAAAAGACCUGGCGGUCACUUUAACACUUAACACCUCGCACAAUAUUCGAAAAGCCUGGAGUGAUGCCCAGCUAUUCGGAUGAAGUUGUGAAGGUGCUACGUUUAAAAUACGCAAUACUUCCAUGGUGAAAGUAUCGAAAGGAAAGCGGACAUGGAUAUUCGAAAUCAAACAAGAAUAAAAAUAAAAGAAAUCUUUAUGCUCCCUCCCCCUUCCCAAACACACGGUCUCGAACUCUCGACACCUACGGAGUGCGAAGGCACCAUUAGGCACGCCCUCUAACACAAUAUCCACACUCUCCACAAAAUCUUGGAGUAGGGAAACCUUUGUGAACUCCGAAAACUCCUCACGGACUUUCUCAUUAACCCACAGAUACUCGGUCUCUUGGGUUUCUUCACCCUCAUACCCACUCGAUUGAGACACCGCCGGUUUUGUAUACUCUCGGCUCAGAGGAUCGACUGCAUGGGAAGAACCUUCCACAUCCUCGGCAUCUCUAGAAACAACAUUUGCGGCCAAUUGCCCCCCAUCACUCACACUCCCGGACACAGACGAAAAUAAGUUGGUAAUCGAAAGAGAAGGCAUCGUUACCUCCGAAAGGCUCUUCACUCGAUAAGUCAAGAUUGCAAAGGCCAAUAACUCGACUCUCGAGCUUUCGGAGCUAGCUCACGGAUCACACGAAUAUGAAUUUAUGUGUUAUUGUACUAAUGUCAAUAGAAAAUGUGAAUAAUACAUAACUAUAUAUUAAAGUUUAAAAAGUGAACAAAUAUAUUAAAUUAAAUAAUAUAAAUAAAACAAUGAGAAAGUAUAAUUUAGUUAUAAGAUAAUAUAAUCUAUAGUGUAAAAGACAAAACAGAUAUUGUAUAAUAUGUAUCAAUUGUCUAAAUAUAUAAAGAGCUCUGUUUUGAUCUGUAAUCAUUUCAUUUUCUACUAAGUUUUUUCUAUGUUUAUUCUCUACACCAUAUUUUUUCUAUACAAGACACACAAUUGAUAUAAAAUAUCUAAAAUAAUUGAUAUAACGAACGUACUCUCUCAUUCAAAAACCACAAAUGGAAUAAAAGAAAAAACUUGAAGAAGAGAAACUCAAAGCAUAUGAAAUAAAAUAUUGACUAAUCAAAUUAUCAUUUUUCUUUUACAUGUUAUUUUAUGUUUUUCAAUUUUAAUUCUUCCAAAAAUAUUUCUUCAUGUAUGUUAUAAUUUUACAUAAUUAUAUAAAAUAAUAAUAAUAAUAAAAAUAAAUACACAUUAAUAACAAAAAUAAAAAAUGCGGAUACACAGACACAAGAGCUUAUGUGUAUAUGCUAGUAUAUAUAAACAAAACAAACAAACAAAAUUUGUCGAAAUUGCAGUUAUGAUAAGGAAAAUAUUAUAUGAUAACUGAUAUAUUUCUUAAUAUAAUGGAUAAAAUCGAAAAUAUAUGAAAUAUGCAAAUUUGAAUGAUUUGAGGAAACUACCUAACUCCGACUAAAUCUAAAUGAUAAUGAUAAGUAGAUAAGAAGUAUAAUGAUGCGAGAAGAGUUCUAUAUAUUAAAAAAAUAAUUAAAGUAAAAAUUUAAUUAUCUUAUUCGUCCUUACAUUUAGUUAAGAUUAAUAUUCAAUGUUCAAUUUUGUAUAGUGGUUUAUAAAAAAAAAUCAAUUUAGUCUUAUGUCUUUUAAAAUGUAAAAACAUCAUUAACUAUUAAUGAUGUGGAAUCACAUACACUAAUAUUGAUAUGUCUGGGUGUGAAGAAAUAAAGGUUUAGGGAUAGAGUUUAUGGUUUAUGAUGUAGGGUUCAGGGUUCAAAGUUUACAGUUUAGGGUUUACUUACAUCUCUAUGAAUGCAUGUCCCAAUGCUUAAUUCACUUUCUAUCCUAACACAAGUAUAACAACUUUAUGCUAACUUAAGCUUGAAAGUAAUAACUUAUUUACCUGACUGAACACCUUGACUGAAUGUCUACCCUCAAAUAGCGACGCCUUCAUGGUUAGAAUAAAUUUUUUUAUAUUUAUGAUCAAACACUUUACAAGAAAAAUUACAUUUAGCCGCAAAGAAAAGUGACGACGCACUUGUGGACACUAAAUAGUAUGAGCUUGGCCUUCACAAUUAAAGAAAAUAAAAUAAAGUGUGGGAAAGCAUGAGUUAUACUUACGCAAACUUAAAAAUAAAAUAAAAAAAAUUAAUAAUAAUAAAAUUGAAGGUUAAGCCCACGCUAUCUCUAUUUUAAAUUUUGAAGGCUUAGCCCCCGCUAUGAUUUUAAAAUUAAAUUUAAAUAAACCAUUUGUGAAAGUCAAAAUAUUCAACUACGGUUCCAUUUUUGGGGCGUAAACUAUUUGAGCAACUGAGAGAGCAUUUGAGCAUUUGGAACGUGAUUGAGCAGUGGAGCAUUUGAGCAUUUGGAACGUGACCAUGAACGUGAUUGAGCAGUGGACCGUGAGCAUUCGAGCGAGAGCGAUGGAGCGAGAGUGAUUGAGCGAGCGCGAUUGAGCGAGCGAGAGCGAUUGUACUCACAGGGAGUUUCCUUUCUCCUUUCUUAAUCUUUCGCACUAACCCUAAUUUCUCGAUUUCAGAUUGUGUUUGCUGAUAAUAUCCAGUGAUUGUUGCUAGAAGUCUGAGGGCAACGCUUGUGAUACCUGACAUCAGAGGAAGCCAACCUGCCUGGUGAUAGAAGGUUAGUGCUGAAUUUUAUUCUGUGUUUGAUGUUGCAUCCUGUGUUUGAAGUUGAAUAAGAUUAGGCUAGGUUUCACAAAUGUCCACAGCUUCCAACCCAUAUCCACUAGGAUACCGAGGAGCCACUUGCUUCUCAUUCUCAUAACCCUGCUCUCCACUGUAUCCUUCACCAAACCCACUUCCAACACUAGACUCAACAUAGAAAUCAUCUUCAUGGUCACUUUCUUCGGUCACUUCCAAAAAAUAAAAGAACCUUGGCUUCUCUAAAAGCAUAUUCUUCAUGAUGGAAAAUAAAAUAGAAGAAAGAGUAGAAAAAAAAGGAACAGAAAGUUCAUAGAAGUAAGAUUAGAAUAAUUUAAAAGUAAUAAAAAGUACGAAAAAACAGAGAGAAUGGAGAAGAGAAAGAGACCGACUGGGAAUACUAUGAUAAUAAAAUAAGAGGAUUAAAAUGAUGAUGCAGAUGGGAAUAGUAAUAAACUGUGACGGUUUUGGAGAAAUGGGAUAGAGAGAGUGAAGAGAAAAGAGAAUGAUUGUGAUGAGAGAAAAAGAAAGCAGUAGAACAAUAAACUUGGAACUUGCAAUAAAAACACACUUAACCUAACCUUUAAGUAAUUGUAAGUGAAGGGAUGAUUAGAGUGGAAGACAAAUAACAGUAAGCAAUAUAUUGGUUAUAUAUGGUGAAGAAAAGGAUAAUCGGCAAUAUAUUGGUUAUUUAGGCUAUUCUAUAUACUCCCUUGCAGGCACGAUCCUCUUGGUGUAGGUAAUUGGUGCUGCUGGAGACACAGAUUAAGUGGGGGAGAACAAGCCUCAAGCAGCUGGAUGUCUUUUUUUUUUUUUCAGUUUGGUGCCUUGGAGUAGCAGCCCUGCAGGUAUUGGUGUGUAGCUUUAGUGAGCAGGACUAGGAGAGUGCACCACCUUUGUUUCUGCUGUUGCCUAGAUUGAUCUUAGGUGUGAGGCUCUCAUGUCUGGUAAUUUUGAGUGAAGCCGCUGGUUGUUGUGGAGGUAGGUUCUGCUCAAUGAGAAGUUUUGGUGAGGUGUUCUUGGAAAAGUGGAUGCUAUUACAACACAAUUAUAUCUGCUCUGUAAUGAUGUUGCUGUCAUAGUUUUUUGAGUCUUUGCUGUUUGGAGACUCGGAAUUGAUUGUGGUGAUUUGUUCAUUCUCUUCUACUAGAUCUUGAAGCUACCGAUUUUGUUAUGUUGGUUAAGGGCUUCUUGUCUAGUAUGAAUGGUGUUUUGCUGGAAUGUGUGGUUGCUCUUAAGUUGUUUUUAGGAAGGGAAGCUGCAUUGUUCUGUAGUUUUCAUUUUGUGAGCCUUUUAUGUGCUCUUUAGUGCUCAAGAACCUAAGGUAUUUUGUAAUAGUGACAACACUAGAGUUUUCUUUUUCAAAUUUCUAAUAGCAUCUAACUUGUUGUUUUGGGUAUUUUUUACCAUUAAUUUCAAAGUUAUUGUUAUUAAUAUGUAUUCCUAUUAAAUAAAGAUGUUCCUAAUAAUAAAUAUAUAAUCUAGAUAUUCCUGAUUAUAAAAGUUUGCACCUUAUAUAAUUCUGACUAUUUGUUCCUGGGUUCACUCUGGCACACUGCAUGCAACAUAUAACAUACUAAAAGUGCCAUCUAGAAGAUCUGAAUAGUACCAAUUCAAAUAAAGCAUUUCGUUAAAUCUCUUUCUUUCAUGGACUAGAAUGAAAAAUCAC
rnacentral:lncRNA from 1 species